rnacentral:rRNA from 1 species
CCUACGGGUGGCAGCAGUCGAGAAUUUUUCUCAAUGGGGGAAACCCUGAAGGAGCGACGCCGCGUGGAGGAUGAAGGUCUUCGGAUUGUAAACUCCUGUCAUUGGGGAACUAGUACCCGAAGAGGAAGAGACGGCUAACUCUGUGCCAGCAGCCGCGGUAAUACAGAGGUCUCAAGCGUUGUUCGGAUUCAUUGGGCGUAAAGGGUGCGUAGGCGGCGAGGUAAGUCGGAUGUGAAAUCCCGGGGCUCAACCCCGGAACUGCAUUCGAUACUGCUUUGCUUGAGUACUGGAGAGGAGACUGGAAUUUACGGUGUAGCAGUGAAAUGCGUAGAUAUCGUAAGGAAGACCAGUGGCGAAGGCGAGUCUCUGGACAGUACUGACGCUGAGGCACGAAGGCCAGGGGAGCAAACGGGAUUAGAUACCCUGGUAGUC